CACACCACCAGUCGCGUCGUUGCACUAGCCGCCGCAGUCUCCCGGUCAGGCUGUCCCUCCUUUCUCCUCCUCUCUUCUGUGCUUCUUGCUCAAUCACGCAACCACCAAGUGCGACCUCCACAGUCACCGCCUCCAACGGCGUCUCCCGUUCGACCACCAGACGCAACCACCUUCACUCUGCGCCCAGCCGCCGCUGCCGCGCCUCCCUUGCCGCCGGCCAGCAUCCCCUUGAAGCUUUAAUUGGCGGAGCAUUCUUUGUAGGCGACUUUUGAAAGUGUUAAAGUGGCCUACUAGUUGUUUAUACAAGUCUCUAAGGAUCAAUAAGCGUUGCCCAUCUACAGGUUUGAAGAUGAUGCAUCAUUGGGGUCGGGAUUAGAGAGCUUGUAGUUCUAUUCGUUUAAUUAAGUGAUUUAAUUUGUUAACUUGGAUUUGAAAUUUGUCGUACUAUUCGUAUUUCCUUA